rnacentral:rRNA from 1 species
UACGGGGGGGGUAAGCGUUGUUCGGAAUUACUGGGCGUAAAGGGCUCGUAGGCGGCCAACUAAGUCAGACGUGAAAUCCCUCAGCUUAACUGGGGAACUGCGUCUGAUACUGGAUGGCUUGGAUUCGGGAGAGGAAUGCGGAAUUCCAGGUGUAGCGGUGAAAUGCGUAGAUAUCGGGAGGAAUACCAGUGGCGAAGGCGGCUUCCUGGCCUGUUCUUGACGCUGAGGCGCGAAAGCUAGGGUAGCAAACGGG